rnacentral:misc_RNA from 1 species
GAUCAUGAAAGCAAUUGGGAAGAAGUUGGACCGCUACAAGAAUCCAUGGUUGGAGUUGAAGAUUCAGUAUGGUCAGAACAAAGGAAAAUUGUACAAUGAGGAGUGUGAUCGUUUCAUGAUAUGUAUGGUUCACAAGCUUGGCUAUGGAAACUGGGAUGAGCUAAAGGCUGCAUUCCGAACAGCUCCUUUGUUUCGGUUUGAUUGGUUUGUGAAGUCUCGGACAACUCAAGAACUUGCCAGAAGAUGUGAUACACUUAUUCGUUUGGUGGAGAGGGAAAACCAAGAAUUUGAUGAGAGGGAGAGACAGGCACGCAAAGAAAAGAAACUUGCUAAGAACGCGACACCAUCAAAGCGCGCUGUGGCAAGACAAGCAGCCAAAAGCCCUCCCACCUCAAAGAAACGGAAGCAGUCAUCAAUGGAUGAUUUUGUGAGCUCGGCCAAGAGAAGAAGUGAUGGUACAACCUAGACAGGCUUUUCUUUUUGUGGUUUAGAUCCUCUCUUGUGUUUUUCGUUUAACCAGGUUGGUCAUCCAGGACACUAACUAUGCAAUGUGUUGGGCAUUGCAAAUUGCAAUUCUGUCAAGUGCUACAGAGGAAAACCCCACCAAUGUAUUCAGAUAUGAUGUGUAGGUUUAUUGUACAUAAUCACAAUAGAAUUCUAUUUAGGCUAGUAGUCUUGAACAAUGUGGUGCGACACUAAUAUGUAACUUAAUAGAUCAACUUGCCAAAUUUAUGAAUUUGCCAGCUCGCUACUAUGCUCUUGUUUGGUGCACAUUUAUACGCAUAUGCAUUUUUCAUAU